rnacentral:lncRNA from 1 species
UGUCAGAUGGCAGACGCUUGCAGCUCUUGCAUUUGCAGGCCUGGUGGUUUGUCUGCUGGUCAAUCUACUUCCUGUGAUUGUUUUUUUUGCACGUAAUGUAUCCCCAUUCCUCACCCGUAAGCACAGUCACAGUAUAGUGAACCAUGGACGCUACAGGGAGAAUGAAAAGAAUCCUUCUCUUGUUGCAUGUUCUCUUCAUGUCGGGUAUGAGUUCUACAACCAUGGUUAACAUCUCUUCAAGUGUGGGCAAGAAUGUCCGUUUACCAUGUGUUGUGAAGUCAGACAAUAUCUUCGUUGUCCAGAUACAAUGGCAGAAUCAGGUGGGUCAUCACCAGGAGGAACAAAUCGUGGUCUACAAUCCAACUCAUGGGGAAUACAAAUCACCAGGUCACAAGGGAAGACUAAGAGCCAAUCAAAAUCCUUCAAGUGGUCGGCCAGAGAGCUUUCAUUUGGACCUGGAGGAUCUGGAGCUACAGGACAGUGCUCUUUAUGUGUGUGACAUCAAUACUUCCCCAUCUGGAACCAUCAGACAAUAUGUGAAUUUGCAAGUCAAAGGUGAAGAGGAUAGAAGUAUACCUGCACAUCUACCGACAACAACGGUGCCUGCCAGUCUUAGCUCAAGGCCACUUGAGAGGACAACACACCGUAUCCAACCAGCUGAAGAGGAUAGAAGUAUACCUGCACAUCUACUGACAACAGCGGUGCCUGCCAGUCUUAGCUCAAGGCCGCUUGAGCGGACUACACUGUAUCCAACCAUGUCAAGUAAGUUAACUACAUGCAAACAUACAUAUAUAGGCUUGUGUACAAAUGUGUACUGAUACUGGCUACGACUGUUGAGGACUAUACAUUAUCCCACUUAAUAUAUGGUUAAUAGAUGUGAAAGGCAGCAUUGACCAAGAUCCUGUCCAUGGCAUCUCAACAAGACCUUCCACUUGUUUGUUUUUUAUCUAGUUCUAGUUAAAGGUGC